rnacentral:rRNA from 1 species
AUUGAACGCUGGCGGCAUGCUUUACACAUGCAAGUCGAACGGUAACAGGCCGCAAGGUGCUGACGAGUGGCGAACGGGUGAGUAAUGCAUCGGAACGUGCCCAGUCGUGGGGGAUAACGCAGCGAAAGCUGUGCUAAUACCGCAUACGAUCUAUGGAUGAAAGCUGGGGACCGUAAGGCCUCGCUCGAUUGGAGCGGCCGAUGUUAGAUUAGGUAGUUGGUGGGGUAAAGGCUCACCAAGCCAACGAGCUGUAGCUGGUCUGAGAGGACGACCAGCCACACUGCGAAGGAGACACGACCCAGACGCCUACGGGAGGCAGCAGUGGGGAAGUUUGGACAAUGGGCGCAAGCCUGAUCCAGCAAUGCCGCGUGCAGGAAGAAGGCCUUCGGGUUGUAAACUGCUUUUGUACGGAACGAAAAGGUUUGGGUUAAUACCCUGGGCCGAUGACGGUACCGUAAGAAUAAGCACCGGCUAACUACGUGCCAGCCGCCGCAGUAA